GAUGAACGCUGCCAGAAUGCUUAACACAUGCAAGUCUUUGGCGAAUCUGUGCUUGCACAGGCUAGCCAAGGCGGACGGGUGAGUAACGCGUAAAGAACUUGCCCUGCAGACAGGGAUAACAGACGGAAACGACUGAUAACACCUGAUACAGUUGCCGGCACGCAUGUGCCUGGCAAUGAAAAGAGAUGCUGCAGGAGAGCUUUGCGUCCUAUUAGCUUGUUGGUGAGGUGACGGCUCACCAAGGCGAUGAUAGGUAGCCGGCCUGAGAGGGUGAACGGCCACAAGGGGACUGAGAUACGGCCCUUACUCCUACGGGAGGCAGCAGUGGGGAAUAUUGGACAAUGGGGGCAACCCUGAUCCAGCAAUUCUGUGUGCACGAAGAAGGUUUUCGGAUUGUAAAGUGCUUUCAGCAGGGAAGAAGAAAGUGACGGUACCUGCAGAAGAAGCGACGGCUAAAUACGUG
rnacentral:rRNA from 1 species